CGCGACACCGCGUGGGCGAUGAAGGCCUUCGGGUCGUAAAGCCCUGUGAGAGAUCGAGAACAGAUGGAGGGUAAAUAGCCCUUUGUCUUGACUAGUCUCAGAGGAAGGCGCGGCUAACUACGUGCCAGCAGCAGCGGUAAUACGUAGGCGCCAAGCGUUGUUCGGAAUUACUGGGCGUAAAGGGCGCCUAGGCGGAUGUGUAAGUCGGGUGUGAAAUCCCUCGGCUCAACCGAGGAAUCGCGUCCGAUACUGCAUGUCUUGAGUGCAGAAGGGGAGAGCGGAACUCCUGGUGUAGCGGUGAAAUGCGUUGAUAUCAGGAUGAACGCCGGUGGCGAAAGCGGCUCUCUAGUCUGUUACUGACGCUGAAGCGCGAAAGCCAGGGGAGCAAACGGGAUUAGAUACCCCGGUAGUCCUGGCCGUAAACGAUGGGUACUAGGUAGAGGAAAUUCCGAUGUUUUCUCUGCCGUAGUUAACGCGUUAAGUACCCCGCCUGGGGAGUACGGCCGCAAGGCUA
rnacentral:rRNA from 1 species